UAUUUGUAUAUUUUAUAAUUUUGUAAUUGUAAGCCCCUUUUUCUGUCCCAAAAAGGGUUGGGCCUGACCUUUCGUAGGUCCAAGGUUAGCCCCUCUAUAGGACCCCAAUACCCUAAUCAACUUUCUCAUUUUCUCUUGUCUCCCUUUUUCAGAAACAACAAUUUUCUCUUCCCCUCUUGUCUCCUGCAACGUGUUCUGCUAGGGCACAAGGUUUCUCCGUCUCAGAGCAAGCAAAACCCCUUUCUUUUUCCAGCUCUAUUCUAGCUUCGGCGGGAGCUGUGGUGCCCUUAGUUUCGGACCUGUUUGCUUAAGUUGCUCUCAAAACAGGAUGAUCACCCUUGAUGGGAGCAGAUGGGGGAAAUCCUAGGAGUAGGCCUGGUGGUAGCAGUGGUGCAGCUUAGGGGAUCCGUAUGUGUGACUCUCAGGAGUGGUUUUGUGGCGUUUGUGCCUAUUGUAAUUUCUUGCUCUGGGAGCAUCGUCUUUUGUAAAACUGUUAACCUCUUUGUGUUUGUUUUUAUAGCAUGGUGGUAUGCCUAUGUUUACUUUCAAAGUAUACCCCUGGAUGAUUGUAACAGUUACCUUUCUUAUCUUCUAUAUUCAUCUGAUUGCUUCUUA